CCUACGGGAGGCUGCAGUGAGGAAUAUUGGUCAAUGGACGAGAGUCUGAACCAGCCAAGUAGCGUGAAGGAUGACUGCCCUAUGGGUUGUAAACUUCUUUUAUAUGGGAAUAAAAUGUUCCACGUGUGGGAUUUUGUAUGUACCAUAUGAAUAAGGAUCGGCUAACUCCGUGCCAGCAGCCGCGGUAAUACGGAGGAUCCGAGCGUUAUCCGGAUUUAUUGGGUUUAAAGGGAGCGUAGGUGGAUUUGUAAGUCAGUUGUGAAAGUUUGCGGCUCAACCGUAAAAUUGCAGUUGAAACUGGCAGUCUUGAGUACAGUAGAGGUGGGCGGAAUUCGUGGUGUAGCGGUGAAAUGCUUAGAUAUCACGAAGAACUCCGAUUGCGAAGGCAGUUCACUGGACUGCAACUGACACUGAGGCUCGAAAGUGUGGGUAUCAAACAGGAUUAGAUACCCCUGUAGUC
rnacentral:rRNA from 1 species